rnacentral:rRNA from 1 species
AGUGAACGCUGGCGGUAGGCCUACCACAUGCAAUUCGAACGGCAGCACAGUAAGAUCUUUCUCUUACGGUUGGCGAGUGGCGGCCGGGUAAGGAAUACAUCGCAUUCUACUUUUUCUUGGGUGAUAACGUAGGGAAACUUCCGCUACUACCGCAUACGACCUACGGUUUAAAGCAGUGGUUCUUCGGACUUUUCCCGAUUGAUUUAGCCGAUGUCGGAUUAGCUAGUUGGCGGGGUAAAGGCCCACCAAGGCGACGAUCCGUAGCUGGUCUGAGAGGAUGAUCAGCCACACUGGAACUGGGACACGGUCCAGACUCCUACGGGAGGCAGCAGUGGGGAAUAUUGGACAAUGGGCGAAAGCCUGAUCCAGCAAUACCGCGUGGGUGAAGAAGGCCUUCGGGUUGUAAAGCCCUUUUGUUGGGAAAGAAAAGAAGCAGGUUAAUACACCGCUGUUCUGACGGUACCCAAAGAAUAAGCACCGGCUAACUUCGUG